AUUGAACGCUGGCGGCAGGCUUAACACAUGCAAGUCGAGCGGGGUGAUGGUGCUUGCACUAUCACUUAGCGGCGGACGGGUGAGUAAUGCUUAGGAAUCUGCCUAUUAGUGGGGGACAACAUCUCGAAAGGGAUGCUAAUACCGCAUACGUCCUACGGGAGAAAGCAGGGGAUCACUUGUGACCUUGCGCUAAUAGAUGAGCCUAAGUCGGAUUAGCUAGUGGGUGGGGUAAAGGCCUACCAAGGCGACGAUCUGUAGCGGGUCUGAGAGGGUGAUCCGGCACACUGGGACUGAGACACGGCCCAGACUGCUCCGGGGGGCAGCAGUGGGGAAUAUUGGACAAUGGGGGGACCCCUGAUCCAGGCAUGCCGCGUGUGUGAAGAAGGCCUUAUGGUUGUAAAGCACUUUAAGCGAGGAGGAGGCUCUUUUGGUUAAUACCCAAGAUGAGUGGGCGUUACUCGCAGAAUAAGCACCGGCUAACUCUGUGCCAGCCGCCGCGGUAA
rnacentral:rRNA from 1 species